CGCUGGCGGCAUGCUUUACACAUGCAAGUCGAACGGCAGCGCGGGGCAACCUGGCGGCGAGUGGCGAACGGGUGAGUAAUAUAUCGGAACGUACCCAGGAGUGGGGGAUAACGUAGCGAAAGUUACGCUAAUACCGCAUACGACCUAAGGGUGAAAGUGGGGGAUCGCAAGACCUCAUGCUCAUGGAGCGGCCGAUAUCUGAUUAGCUAGUUGGUGGGGUAAAGGCCCACCAAGGCAACGAUCAGUAGCUGGUCUGAGAGGACGACCAGCCACACUGGAACUGAGACACGGUCCAGACUCCUACGGGAGGCAGCAGUGGGGAAUUUUGGACAAUGGGCGCAAGCCUGAUCCAGCAAUGCCGCGUGAGUGAAGAAGGCCUUCGGGUUGUAAAGCUCUUUUGUCAGGGAAGAAACGACCCCUUCUAAUACAGGGGGUUAAUGACGGUACCUGAAGAAUAAGCACCGGCU
rnacentral:rRNA from 1 species